GGACAGGUGGCCGAGUGGUUAAGGCGGUGCACUCAAGCUUAAAAACUUCUCUUAAACCAAGAGUCUCGCACUUCGUAAGAGCAAGGGUUCGAAUCCCUUCCUGUUCA